rnacentral:rRNA from 1 species
CAAGGCUUGACAUGCAUCUCUAAACACGUGAAAGCGUGUGACCCUUCGGGGAAUUUGCACAGGUGCUGCAUGGCCGUCGUCAGCUCGUGUCGUGAGAUGUUGGGUUAAGUCCCGCAACGAGCGCAACCCUUGUGAUUAGUUGCCAGCACGUCAUGGUGGGAACUCUAGUCAGACUGCCCAGAUCAACUGGGAGGAAGGUGGGGACGACGUCAGGUCAGUAUGGCCCUUACGCCUUGGGCUGCACACGUACUACAAUGCCCAGCACAAUGAGAACCGAUACCGCGAGGUGGAGGAAAUCUGCAAAACUGGGCCCAGUUCGGAUUGGAGGCUGCAACUCGCCUCCAUGAAGUUGGAAUCGCUAGUAAUGGGGCAUCAUCUACGGCCCCGUGAAUA